AAUUCGAAGCAACGCGAAGAACCUUACCAGGCCUUGACAUGCAGAGAACUUUCCUAGAGAUGGAUUGGUGCCUUCGGGAACUCUGACACAGGUGCUGCAUGGCUGUCGUCAGCUCGUGUCGUGAGAUGUUGGGUUAAGUCCGUAACGAGCGCAACCCUUGUCCUUAGUUACCAGCACGUUAUGGUGGGCACUCUAAGGAGACUGCCGGUGACAAACCGGAGGAAGGUGGGGAGUGACGUCAAGUCAUCAUGGCCCUUACGGCCUGGGCUACACACGUGCUACAAUGGUCGGUACAAAGGGUUGCCAAGCCGCGAGGUGGAGCUAAUCCCAUAAAACCGAUCGUAGUCCGGAUCGCAGUCUGCAACUCGACUGCGUGAAGUCGGAAUCGCUAGUAAUCGUGAAUCAGAAUGUCACGGUGAAUACGUUCCCGGGCCUU
rnacentral:rRNA from 1 species